GAUGAACGCUGGCGGCGUGCCUAAUACAUGCAAGUCGAGCGGACGGACGAGAAGCUUGCUUGUCUGAUGUUAGCGGCGCACGGGAGAGUAACACGUGGAUAACCUACCUAUAAGACUGGGAAAACCUCGGGAAACCGGCGCUAAUACCGGAGAAUAUUUUGAACCGCAGGGUUCAAAGGUGAAAGUCGGUCUUGCUGGCACUUAUAGCUGGAUCCGCGCUGCAUUAGCUAGUUGGUAAGGUAACGGCCUACCAAGGCAACUAUGCAUAGCCGACCUGAGAGGGUGAUAGCCCACACGGGAACUGAGACACGGUCCAGACGCCUACGGGAGGCAGCAGUAGGGAAUCUGACGCAAUGGGCGAGAGCCUGACGGAGCAACGCCGCGUGAGUGAUGAAGGUCUUCGGAUCGUAAUACCCUGUUACUAGUGAAGAACAUAUGUGUAAGUAACUGUGGACAUCGUGACGGUACCUAAUCAGAAAGCCACGGCUAACUACGUG
rnacentral:rRNA from 1 species